rnacentral:rRNA from 1 species
UACGUAGGGGGCAAGCGUUGUCCGGAAUCAUUGGGCGUAAAGCGCGUGUAGGCGGCCAGGUAAGUCCGUUCUGAAAGCCCGGGGCUCAACCCCGGGAGGCGGAUGGAUACUGCUUGGCUCGAGUCCGGAAGAGGCGAGUGGAAUUCCCGGUGUAGCGGUGAAAUGCGCAGAUAUCGGGAGGAACACCAAUGGCGAAGGCAGCUCGCUGGGACGGUACUGACGCUGGAGACGCGAAAGCGGUGGG